GCUGGGCGCAGUGGUGCAUACCUGUAGUCCCAGCUACUCAGGAGGCUGAGGUGGGAGGAUCGCUUGAGCUCAGGCGUUCUGGGCUGUAGUGCGCUAUGCCAAUCGGGUGUCCAAACUAAGUUUGGCAUCAAUAUGGUGACCUCCUGGGAGCAGAGGACCACCAGGUUGCUUAUGGAAGGGUGAACCGGCCCAGGUCGGAAACGGAGCAGGUCAAAACUCCCAUGCUGAUCAGUAGUGUGAUCGCGCCUGUGAAUAGCCACUGCAUUCCAGCCUGGGCAACAUAGCGAGACCCCAUCUCU
rnacentral:SRP_RNA from 1 species